rnacentral:rRNA from 1 species
GAUGAACGCUGGCGGCGUGCCUAAUACAUGCAAGUCGAGCGAACGGACGAGAAGCUUGCUUCUCUGAUGUUAGCGGCGGACGGGUGAGUAACACGUGGAUAACCUACCUAUAAGACUGUGAUAACUUCGGGAAACCGUAGCUAAUACCGGAUAAUAUUUUGAACCGCAUGGUUCAAAAGUGAAAGACGGUCUUGCUGUCACUUAUAGAUGGAUCCGCGCUGCAUUAGCUAGUUGGUAAGGUAAAGGCUUACCAAGGCAACGAUGCAUAGCCGACCUGAGAGGGUGAGCGGCCACACUGGAACUGAGACACGGCCCAGACUCCUACGGGAGGCAGCAGUAGGGAAUUUUCCGCAAUGGGCGAAAGCCUGACGGAGCAACGCCGCGUGAGUGAUGAAGGCCUUCGGAUCGUAAACCUCUGUUAUUAGGGACGAAAAUAUGUGUAAGUAAAUGUGCACAUCUUGACGGUACCUAAUCAGAAAGCAACGGCUAACUACGUG